UUCCGUUUUUUGGAUAACAGCCAUCCUAAUGGGUGUAAAGUGAUAUCUCAUUGUGGUUUUGAUUUUCGUCUCCCUAAUGACUAGUGAUGUUGAGUAACUUUUCAUGAGUUUAUUGGCCAAUUGUGUAUCUUCUUUGGAAGAAAAAAUGUUUGUUUAUACCCUCUGC